GAUGAACGCUGGCGGCGUGCCUAAUACAUGCAAGUCGAGCGAACAGAUGAGGAGCUUGCUCCUUUGACGUUAGCGGCGGACGGGUGAGUAACACGUAGGUAACCUACCUAUAAGACUGGGAUAACUUCGGGAAACCGGAGCUAAUACCGGAUAAUAUUUCGAACUGCAUGGUUCGAUAGUGAAAGAUGGCUUUGCUAUCACUUAUAGAUGGACCUGCGCCGUAUUAGCUAGUUGGUAAGGUAACGGCUUACGAAGGCAACGAUACGUAGCCGACCUGAGAGGGUGAUCGGCCACACUGGAACUGGGACAAGGUCCAGACUCCUACGGGAGGCAGCAGUAGGGAAUCUUCCGCAAUGGGCGAAAGCCUGACGGAGCAACGCCGCGUGAGUGAUGAAGGUCUUCGGAUCGUAAAACUCUGUUAUUAGGGAAGAACAAACGUGUAAGUAACUGUGCACGUCUUGACGGUACCUAAUCAGAAAGCCACGGCUAACUACGUGCCAGCCGCCGCGGUAACAC
rnacentral:rRNA from 1 species